rnacentral:lncRNA from 1 species
AGAAUAUUUGGAGUUUUCCUGAUCUUGUUGGAUGUGGCUCUGAUCUUUGCUGACCUAAUUUUCACUGAUAGCAAAGUUUAUAUUCCUUUGGAGUAUCGUUCUAUUUCUCUAGCUAUUGCUUUAUUUUUUCUCAUGGAUGUUCUUCUUCGAGUAUUUGUAGAAGUGGACACGUUUAUUUCGACUUCUACGACUUAUCAUUCUGAUAAGAGUUUUUCGUCUGGCUCAUCUAAAAAGACAACUUGGAAAGCUGAUAAGAAGGCUGGUAACAGGAAACAAAAGGUGAUACGAAAGGGAUGGAUUUGACCUAGACCUCACUUAUAUAGAACGUAUUGUCGCUAUGUCAUUUCCAUCUUCGGGAGGCCAGUCUUUCUAUCGGAAUCCAAUUGAAGUCGUACAGUUUCUAGACAAGAAACAUCCAAACCACUAUCGAGUCUACAAUCUAUGCAGAAAGAGCUUAUGAUCCUAAGCACUUCCAUAAUAGGGUCAGUAGAAUCAUGAUCGAUGAUCAUAAUGUCCCCACUCAGGGAGAUGGUAGCAUUCUCCAAGGAAGUGUUGGAGUGGAUGGCUCAAGAUUCUGAAAACAUCGUAGUGAUUCACUGUAAAGGAGGCAGGAAGAACCGGAACUAUGGUUUGUGCCUGCCUGAUUGCCAGUGAAAUAUUUUUAACUGCAGAAAGAUUGUACUAUUUUGGAGAACGGCGAACAGAUAAAACCAAUGGCACUAAAUAUCAGGGAGUAGAAACUCCUUCUCAAUAGAUAUGUUGGAUAUUUUGCACAAGUGAAACAUAGCUACAACUGGAAUCUCCCUCCAAGAAAAACACUGUUUAUAAAAAGAUUAGUUAUUUAUUCGAUUCGGCGAUGGAUAUGAUCUAAAAGUCCAAAUAGUAAUGAAGAAAAAGAUUGUCUUUUCCUGCACUUCCUUAAACAGUUGUCGUAUUUCAUGACACUGAAACAGACAGGGUAAUAAUUGAUGUGUUCAACUGUCCACCUCUGUAUGAUGAUGUGAAAGUGCAAGCUUCCUCUUGAUUUUCCUAAAUACUAUCACAACUACCCUUUUUUCUUCUGGUUUAACACAUCUUUAAUACAAAAUAACAGCUUUAUCUACAAAGAAAUGAAUUGGAUAAUCUUCAUAAACAAAAAACUGGAAAAUUUAUCAACCAGAAUAUGCAGUAGAGACAUAUUUUGAUGAGA